CGAGGCCAGCAGCACGAUCGCCAGCGGUAACCAGCGGCGAACCGGAAAACGCGCAGUCGGCUUGCGCUCGCCGUCGGGCAGGUCGGACAUCACUUGCUCGCCAUCCACCGGGCGAUCCCCUGGGCAACGGACCAGGCCCGGAGCCCGCAUGACCUCUAUACACUAGCCGCUCCGCGCCGGCUUCAUCUCACCGUGAUUUGAGCCGAUUGUGCCGCGCUUUCACGAUUCCCGCAGCACGCCCUUGCAUUGACGAGCAAGGCCGGCCUCCCUUAUAAGCCGCGGGACUUGAAAAGUGCCGGCGAUCCCCACAACUGGCGUUUUUCGGACGCGGAACCGCCAUUCGGUGCCGUUCCAUCGGCAGC
rnacentral:misc_RNA from 1 species